rnacentral:lncRNA from 1 species
GACCUAUUGUGUCAAAAAUGAUGCCCUGAGUGACAUUUUGAGGCUAAAAGCCUCUAAAAUAUUUGUAGUAAUUUAUAUAGUGAUUACCCUGUCUAGACCUUUUACUUUUUGCUAGACUUUCAUUUAAAUGCUGGACUUUUUUUUUUUUUUUCAGAUCAUAAAUCAGUGGCAAAUGUGCAGAUUUGGACUGUCCAAAGUUUUACCUUGAGAAUAUUUUCCUGAAGCAUUCCAAAACACUGAAAUCCUGGGAUGGCAAGAAAAAAAAAUCAAGUAAAAGAUUCACCCAUUACUGAUCUGCAGACGGCAGUGGUGAUUUCUCUGUGUUGCCACCCUUCAGAAGCUAAUGAGGAGUUUUGGAUCAAGCUCUUAUUGAAAAGUGGCUGA